GCCCACCCCACCUCCCCCCGAUCCUGAUCCCACCAGCUCCCGCACCUCCCGCCCGCCGCCCCUUCCCCAACGGGUGGCAUCGGCGCCGCCGCCACCUAGCCCCCAACCGGAGACACCGCGGAAGCCCCGCCAUGCCUCAACCGGAGACACCGCGGCCCCAACAUCCCGCCGCCGCCCCCAGCUUUCCCUGCCGUCAAUACGCGUCGCCGUCACGUUGUGCCACCACGCGCCGCCGGAGGUGGAGGAAGCUUCCUCCCCCACAGCGCUAAAACCGUCCACCCCAUCCCCUACCGCUCCCUCCGGUGAGUGAUGAACCUGCAACUAGAGGAGGGCUCGGCCUGCAGCGAGAGGAGGGCACGACCUACAGCCGGGUGGCCACAUCCGGCAGAGAAGAUAGAUGCAGCUGGGUGAUGGAUCUUGCACGCGCCCCUCCGGCCAGGAGGCUGCCAAGCUGCUGGGUCGUUGGCCACCAGCAGAGCAGCAGCAGGUCAUCUUUCCCCACCUCCCCGUACAGAACGCUGACGAUGACAAGCUUCUCAGCCCCUCUGCCCUCCACCAGUAUUCCUUGUAGAAAUCGAGCGUUGGUCCCAACAAGCUAGGAGAGGUUCAUGUAUUUUUGCUCACGAGGGAAUUUUACCUAAGUUGACGCAAAAAAGUUCGUUUUGUAAUUCAUGGAAGUUUGAUGCCUAUGCUUUUGAGACUGAAACUGUUUUCAUUUCAUGAAAGCCAAAAAAAUUUGUGGAUGUGUUG